rnacentral:rRNA from 1 species
GCGGCGAGUGAAGCGGCAAAAGCUCAAAUUUGAAAUCUGGCUCUUUCAGAGUCCGAGUUGUAAUUUGAAGAAGGUAUCUUUGGGUCUGGCUCUUGUCUAUGUUUCUUGGAACAGAACGUCACAGAGGGUGAGAAUCCCGUGCGAUGAGAUGAUCCAGGCCUAUGUAAAGUUCCUUCGAAGAGUCGAGUUGUUUGGGAAUGCAGCUCUAAGUGGGUGGUAAAUUCCAUCUAAAGCUAAAUAUUGGCGAGAGACCGAUAGCGAACAAGUACAGUGAUGGAAAGAUGAAAAGAACUUUGAAAAGAGAGUGAAAAAGUACGUGAAAUUGUUGAAAGGGAAGGGCUUGAGAUCAGACUUGGUAUUUUGUAUGUUACUUCUUCGGGGGUGGCCUCUACAGUUUAUCGGGCCAGCAUCAGUUUGGGCGGUAGGAGAAUUGCGUUGGAAUGUGGCACGGCUUCGGUUGUGUGUUAUAGCCUUCGUCGAUACUGCCAGCCUAGACUGAGGACUGCGGUUUAUACCUAGGAUGUUGGCAUAAUGAUCUUAAGUCGCCCGUCUUGAAACACGGACCAAGGAGUCUAACGUCUAUGCGAGUGUUUGGGUGUAAAACCCGUACGCGUAAUGAAAGUGAACGUAGGUGGGGGCCCGUAUGGGUGCACCAUCGACCGAUCCUGAUGUCUUCGGAUGGAUUUGAGUAAGAGCAUAGCUGUUGGGACCCGAAAGAUGGUGAACUAUGCCUGAAUAGGGUGAAGCCAGAGGAAACUCUGGUGGAGGCUCGUAGCGGUUCUGACGUGCAAAUCGAUCGUCGAAUUUGGGUAUAGG